AUACUUACUGUCAGGGGAAAUACCGUGAUCCUGAAGGUAAUUUUUCCCAGAGUGAGGAUUGUCUAUUGCACUCCCGAUGUGCUGACCCCUGUGAUUUCCCCAAGUUGGUAAACUCGAUAGAAUAGUUUGUGGUAGUGGGGACUGCAUUCAUGCUCUCCUCU